rnacentral:rRNA from 1 species
GGCUUAUUGAUAUAUAAUUUUAGGUCAGGCCUGCCCACUGAAUGAUUGAAUGGCCGCGGUAUUUUGACUGUGCAAAGGUAGCGUAAUCAUUAGUUUUUUAAUUGAAAGCUUGAAUGAAAGGUUUAAUGAAAAAAUUCCUGUUUCAAUAAAAACUUAUUUGAAUUUUAUUUUUAAGUGAAAAAGCUUAAAUUUAUAUAAAAGACGAGAAGACCCUAUAGAGUUUUAUAUUUAAUAGAAAUUAAAUUUUAAGAAUUUAAAGAUUUAAUUUUUAAAAAAGUAUUUUAUUGGGGUGAUAGAAAAAUUAAAUUAACUUUUUUUAUUUUGUAACAUUUAUUUAUGAAUAUGUGAUCCUAAAAUUUAGAUUGAAAGUUUAAAUUACCUUAGGGAUAACAGCGUAAUUUUUUCUAGAGUUCUUAUCGAAGAAAAAGUUUGCGACCUCGAUGUUGGAUUAAAUUUUAUUAGUGGUGUAGAAGUUACUAAAUUAGGUCUGUUCGACCUUUAAAAAUUUACAUGAUCUGAGUUUAGACCGGUGUGAG